rnacentral:rRNA from 1 species
CCCUUAGAUGUCCUGGGCUGCACGCGCGCUACACUGAUGUGUCCAGUAAGCACCUAACCUAUUCCGAGAGGAGCGGGUAACCUUGGCAAAGCACAUCGUGAUGGGGAUAGAUUAUUGCAAUUAUUAGUCUUGAACGAGGAAUUCCUAGUAAGCACAAGUCAUCAGCUUGUGUUGAUUACGUCCCUGCCCUUUGUACACACCGCCCGUCGCUCCUACCGAUUGAAUGUUCCGGUGAGCUCUUCGGACUGCGCGGUCUGCAGUUUCUGCGUUCCGUGCGGAAAGUUGUGCAAACCUUAACAUUUAGAGGAAGGAGAAGUCGUAACA